rnacentral:rRNA from 1 species
GAUGAACGCUGGCGGCGUGCCUAAUGCAUGCAAGUCGAGCGAACGGACGAGAAGCUUGCUUCUCUGAUGUUAGCGGCGGACGGGUGAGUAACACGUGGAUAACCUACCUAUAAGACUGGGAUAACUUCGGGAAACCGGAGCUAAUACCGGAUGAUAUUUUGAACCGCAUGGUUCAAAAGUGAAAGACGGUCUUGCUGUCACUUAUAGAUGGAUCCGCGCUGCAUUAGCUAGUUGGUAAGGUAACGGCUUACCAAGGCAACGAUGCAUAGCCGACCUGAGAGGGUGAUCGGCCACACUGGAACUGAGACACGGUCCAGACUCCUACGGGAGGCAGCAGUAGGGAAUCUUCCGCAAAGGGCGAAAGCCUGACGGAGCAACGCCGCGUGAGUGAUGAAGGUCUUCGGAUCGUAAAACUCUGUUAUUAGGGAAGAACAUAUGUGUAAGUAACUGUGCACAUCUUGACGGUACCUAAUCAGAAAGCCACGGCUAACUACGUG